rnacentral:rRNA from 1 species
UCAGUAUGGUUAAAUCUUUAAUCGGAAUUACUGGGCGUCAAGCGUGCGCAGGCGGUGAUGUAAGACAGAGGUGAAAUCCCCGGGCUCAACCUGGGAACUGCCUUUGUGACUGCAUCGCUAGAGUACGGCAGAGGGGGAUGGAAUUCCGCGUGUAGCAGUGAAAUGCGUAGAUAUGCGGAGGAACACCGAUGGCGAAGGCAAUCCCCUGGGCCUGUACUGACGCUCAUGCACGAAAGCGUGGGGAGCAAACAGGAUGAGAAACCCGAGUAGUCC